rnacentral:lncRNA from 10 species
CUCAAGUCAUCCUGCCACCUCCGCUUUGCAAGCCGUACAGGAAACAUAGGGGCUCUUCUUCCAGUGAGGCCUGAGGAAACUUGCAUUCAUGGAGGAAGGCCAAAGUGAAGCAGGCUGGACCAGGAGGAAGAAAGAGGCAGAAAGGAGGUGCUACACACUUUUGAACAACCAGAUCUCGUGAGAAUUCACUCACCAUCAAGAGAACAGCACCAAGGGGUUGGCGCUAAACCAGUCAUGAAGGAUCCACCCCCAUGAUCCAAUCACCUCCUGCCGGGUCUCACCUCCAACACUGAGAAUUACAAUUGAACAUGAGAUUUGAUUGGAGAC